rnacentral:lncRNA from 1 species
UGAUUAGGAGAGUUCUGAGAAUAGGAGCUCAGGUAGAGACUUACACCGAAAAGGUGGAAGGAAAGAAAGAAAAUUAUUUCUUGUCUAUACCUUAGUGACUAGUUGACUGUGAUUGUUGUCACCUUGAGGCAUUUACAGGCUCAGUUUUGGGUUUGUUGACUGACUUAGGCUACUGCGACAUAAGAGCCACGUCAGCCAAAUGGUCUCCAUGUUUAAUUAAAUUAACAAAGAUGUUAUAACCUUGUUUACAAAUCCCUUUUCAUUGUGGUAGGGACAUUAGAAAUGAAGUAUAUGUUUAUGCCCAACUUGCAAUUUUUUUCCACUUUUGAUAACUACUUGUCUUCAGCUACUACUAGUCCUGGAUGUUCUUGUUCUUACCUUUGCUAAAAUGGUCUCGUGAGUUGUGUUUUUACAGACUGUUCUUAUCCGGAAUUAGUGCCCAGGGUCUUGUCGUAGCACACUAGUACCUGGUUUUUGACACUUCGCUCAACCUAUGUAUUUCUGGUGUUAUUUAUUUUCAUUACUGUUCAUCCUUACUACUACUCUACAGUGAAAUAGGUUAGCUAAUUACAAGGGGAUUUAUUUUUAUGCCAGAUGCAGGCAGAAGAACACUUAAAAUUGUAUCUAAUUAUUUGAUAGAUCCUCUUUAUUGGUAAAAUGUGAGUCUGGUCUUAUCCUUUGUUGCCUAAGGGUCUUAACUAAGUAUGACAUUUCUCCUGAAUCUAGUGUUGUCUGCUUUUAUUAAAAUUCAUCGACUGGUCCACUGUGUUUUCAAAUAUUUAUGAGUCUGUAACUCAAAAUACUGAUCUGUUUUUGUGACUGCUCUUGGAUCAGUUAGGUAUGAUAUGGUUAAUUGUGAUUGCAACAUAAUAAAGCAAACCCUUACUCUUCUAAUCUGACAAUAUAUGUACUGAACUCAUAUGCACAAAAACUCCUGUGCAUACAAUUUCAUGCAUGCAUGCACAUAUAGAUAUCAAGUUAAAAUAUUUUCUAUAAAAUAUAAGCAAAAAUAUCUUCAUGAAUUUAGUAAUUGAAAUCAUGAUAUAAAGCUAUUAUUUAUAUUUGCAAAUAUUUAUAUUUCAAUUUAGUAACUGAAAUCAUGAUAUAAAGCAAUUAUUUAUAUAUGCUAAAUGCUUUAGGAAUUUGAACAAAGCUGCUGCAAACAUUCUUGUGCAUACCUCUUUGUGCACAUGUGUAAAACUUUUUCCAGUUUACAUUCAGGCAUGAAAUUUAUGGGGCAUCGAUUACCAGCAUUGUCACCUUUACUAGAUAUUACCAAGUUAUUCUUCAAAGUUAUUCUUGCCAAGUAUUCUAUCAGUGCUCACGUCUGACUCUAUAUGAAAGUUUCCAUCCUCCACAGCUUUAAAAUUAUUAGUAAUUUUAGAUUUUAAAAUGUUUUAAUUUUUUUUUAAAUCUAGUUAGGUAUAAAGCGACUUGUCAUUGCUAUUUCUUUUACAUCUCCCUGGUAAUGGCUAAUGUUGAAUUCCUUUUUAUAUGCUUAUUGGAAGUCCUGGUAUUCUUCUAUAUAAAUAUCUGGCCUAUAUCCUUGUAAAUGUACUUUUUUCAUUGAUUAUUGAGGUUCUUAAUAUAAUCUAUAAAGUUUUUCCCACGAAUUUCAAAUCUCUUCUCACAAUCACUGACAUACACUCUCCUUUGCUUUCUGAAGUUUAAUUUUGAAUACAUGAUUUAAAUUUAAAUCAAAUGUAUCAUUAUUUUUUGCACUAUUAACAUUUCAUUUAAAGGAAGAAUUUUUACUCAAUUUCAUAAAAUAUUCUACAUUUUCCUCUACCAAUUUCAGCUUUUAUUUCUCUGCACAUCCCAAAGUUAUUUUUGUCCUUGAUAUGAUGAAGGAAUUCUACUUCUAUUUCAUGCAUUAGCAUCACUCAUUUAAUAUUUUAUUAUCUCAUUGAUUUUAAUGGCAUUCCUUUUCCAUAUAAAAUUCCCAUAUAGGUAUGAAAUUAUUUCUCUGUUUUCUUUUACUUUGUGCUAUAUCUAUGCCAGUAGCAAUGCAAUAUUUUCUUUUAUAAUAAUUUUUUAUAUCUGAUAGGAAGAACUUUUUUUUUCUCUUUUUGGGCUGCCCCUGUGGCAUAUGGAGGUUCUGAGGCUAGGGGUCUAAUUGGAGCUGUAGCUACACCAGAGCCACAGCAACUCCAGAUCUAAGCCUGCAUCUUCGACCUAUACCACAACUCAUGGCAACGCCAGAUCCUUAACCCACUGAGCUAGGCCAGGAAUUGAAACUGCAACCUCAUGGUUCCUAGUCAGAUUCAUUUCCGCUGUGCCACAAUGGGAACUCCAGGAAGAAGUUUUUAAUUUUAUAUUUCUAACAUGGUAUGUACACUUUUGGGAUUUUUCUCUCCUAAAUGAUUAUUGGGAUUAUCUAGGCAUGGCCUAUAAGACUGCUUAUAGGAAUUUGAAUGUAUAUCUGCAAAUAAUGUAUAAUAAUAUAUGUAGCAUAUUAUGUAUAUACAUGUAUUUUUAAGUUUUUUGCUUUGAUUCAUUUGUUAUACUUAUGAUACACUCUUACUUUGUUCUUUAACUCUAAAGAUUUUUACAUUUGUAAUUUGUUUAUUAUAGAUUAUUAUUUUUGGAUAUUAAGCAAUACAUUUUUUAUUUAAAUGCUUUUUCUGACUUUCCUUCAUGGUGUUCUGCUUUUUUCCUCUCUCUUAUUCCCCUACUAUGGGAGUCUACAUCUUAUAUUGUGAAAGAAUCUCUUCAAGAUAUUUUUGCAUUUAUUCACCUGAGACUCUACUGGUUUACCAGUGUCAUAUCAUUUCAUGUUUAUAUUUUGGGUUAAAGUCUAUACCAUAUAUGCACAUGAAUCUGAACCUCAUACACAUGAGUCCAUACCUGUGAUCUGCUCUCUCAAAGACGAUAUCUUUUCUACCUAUAAUCUCUGGUGAGCAGUUUCUCAAAAUGGGUGGGCAGAAGACUUUUCAAACAAUUUCUUUUCCAUAAAUGGAGCAACCACUGCUACAUACCCAUGACAUGUAAAUAUCUAAUUUCUAGUUCCUUUAGUUCUAUGUCCUGAGGUCAGUUUUCUCAACAAUGCUGAGGAUUUAAAUCCCACUAAACCAUUCAGGCCUUUAUCCAUCUCUGAUAAUGUCCUGAAUUAUCAACCCCCCACCCUUCAUAAUUUAUUGCUUGUCCCUCAUAUUUUAUUACUAGUUUUUUCUUAUUUUCAAGGUCUCUUGAAAAUUGACCACAUGCAUUGUACCAAUAACAAUAAUUUACAAAUGUUAGUAUGCUUCAGAAUUUGUGUUUCCUUUAAUUUUUUCCAAUGUUUUCCUUAGUUAAUAUGUUACUAAAGAGAUGGAAGUAUAAUUCUGAAACAUCAGUCCUGUGGUUUUAUUCAGCUUAUCACAACAUAAUUGUAGGUUAUCAGUGAUCCUAGUCAAUAAGGAGAGAAAGAAUCAAUAACUUAAGUUAUAUUAUUAAAUAAUAUCCAUCUAUCACUCUAAGCAAGUUAAAAUGAUGCCUGUCCUAUAUUGUCUUAACUGUAUUUUAAAACAAUCUUUCAUUGUGUUUGAUUAUUAUUAUUAUUAUUAUUUAUUUAUUUUUUUUGCUUUUAGGACCACACCUGCAGCAUAUGGAAGUUCCCAGGCACUGCUGCCAGCCUGCACCACAGCCACAGCAACUUGGCAUCCAAGCCAAGUCUGCGACCUACAUCACAGCUCAUGGCAGUGCCAGAUCCUUAAUCCACUGAGCAAAGCCAGGGAUCAAACCUGCAUCCUCAUGGAUACUAUUUGGGUUCAUUAGCCACUGAGCUACGAAGGGAAUUCCCUGUUUGAUUAUAUUUCUAACGCUUUUAGACCUAAACCCACUGUCUUAUGUGAAAUCAACUCAUGGGAAAGUUGUUUUAUUCUAAUAUAUUUUUCCUUUGGAAAUUUAUAAGGUUGUAGUAGACUGAAAAACGGCCUCACAAAACAUAACCAUAUUCUAAUUCAUGAAAACUAUGAGUAUUACCUUAUAUGGCAAGAAAAGGUUUUUGCAGGUGUGAUUAAUGAUUUUCUAAAAAAAAUUAAGUAUAGUUGAUUUACAAUAUUUCAGGAAUACAUCUCAAAAUUAUUCAGUUCUAUAUAUAUUUAAGUUUGUGUACAUAUAUAUAUAUAUACAUAUGCAUGUAUAUACAUUAUUUUUCAGAUUCUUUUCCAUUAUAGGUUACUAUAAGGUAUUGAAUAUAAGUCCCUGUGCUAUACAGUAGGUCCUUGUUGUUUCUCUGUUUUAUAUGUAGUAGCAUAUAUCUGCCAAUCCCAAUUUCCUAAUUUAUCCCUUGACCACCCUUUCCCUUUUGAUAACCAUAAUUUUCUUUUCAAUAUCUGUGAGUCUACUUCUGUUUUAUAAAUAAGCUCAUUUGUAUCUGUUUUUAGAAUACACAUAUAAAAUUAUCAUGUGAUAUUUGUCUUUGACUAUCUGACUUCACUUAGUAUGCUAAUCUCUAGGUCCAUCCAUGUUACUGCAAAAGGCAUUAUUUCUUUAUUUUUUUAUGGCUGAGUAAUAUACAUAUGUAUCUUUAGCCAGUCAUCUGUCAAGGUGCAAGUUUGCUUCCAUGUCUUGAGUAUUAUAAAUAGUGCUGCUGUGAACAUUAGGGUGCAUGUAUCUUUUAAAAUUAGAAUUUUUGUCUGUAGAUGAAAAUUAAAGGUCUUUAAAUGCGAGUUUAUCCUGGAUUGUCUGAGUGGGCCCUGAACGCAGUCACAUGUAUACUUAUAAGUGAUACACAUAGUAGAUUUAAAAAAACAGAGAGGAGAAAGCAUGAAAAGGAGGAGUGAGAAAUUUGGAGAUGCUAGCUUUUAAAAUUGGAAUGAUGUAGGAAGUUCCCCAGUGGCCUAAUGAUUAAGGAUUCUAAGGAUUCAGCAUUGUCACUGCUGUGACUCUUUGUCACUGCUAUGGCUUAGGUUUCAUCUUUGGCCCACGAACUUCCACAUGCCAUGGCCAAGGCCAUGAAAAAAAAGAAAAAAGUCGGGAUGAUGUAGACACAAGAUAAAGCAUAAUGGCAGUCACUAGAAGGUUAAAACAGGCAAGAAACACAUUCUUUCCUAGAUACUGACAGGAGAACAGCCCUGCUAACAUUUUGAUUUCAGCCCAGUCAUACUGGUUUUAGACUUCUGGCCUUCAGAACUAUGAAAGGAUAAAUUUCUAUUGCUUUAAGACCCUACAUUUGUGGCAAUUUUUUGCCACAGCCACAGAAUAUACUGAUACCAGUUUUAGUACAUUUUAACCAAAAUAUCUAAUAGAAUUUAAAAGUACAUAAUGUCUUAAAAUUUCUUUUGAAUUCAUUUCUUAUUUUAAUGGUUUGCCAUCUUAAAGAUUACCAGAUGUCUUAAUUUGCUUGGACUGCUAUAGCAAAUUACAUAAACUGUGUAGCUUAAACAAUAACCAUGCAUUUCUUACAAUUCUAGAGGCUGAGAAGUCUAAGAUAAAGGCAUCAGCAGAUUUUGUGCUUGGUAAUUGCCCUUUUUCUUAGCUUGCAGAUGGAUGUCUUUUCCUUGUAUCCUCACCAGACACAAAGCAGAGAGAAGCAAGCUCUCUUGUCUCUUAUUCUGAGGGCACUGAUUGCAUCAGGAGGGCUCCACCUUCAUAACCUAAUCACCUCCCAAAGCCCUCAUCUCCAAAUAUUGUUAUAAAAAGAUUAAUGUUUUAAGAUAUGAAUUUGGUGGGGAGAGUGUAUACAUACAAUCCAUAAAACCAGAAUAAAAAUGAUAAAAUGAAUCCUUUUCCUUCUAGAAAAUAACAUUGAUCCCAUAUGGAUUAUAAGUCGAAUGUACUAUUGUCAGGUAUCCCACUCAGUUUUUGUGAUAAAAAUAAUGAUAAACAGGAGUUCCUGUCAUGGCUCAGUGGUCAAUAAAUCUGACUGGGAACCAUGAGGUUGCGGGUUCUAUCCCUGGCCUCGCUCAGUGGGUUAAGGAUCCAGCAUUGCCAUGAGCUGUAGUGUGGGUCUCAGAUGUGGCUUGGAUCCCGUGUUGCUGUGGCUCUGGUAUAGGCCGGUGGCUACAUCUCCAAUUAGACCUCUAGCCUGGGAACGUCCAU